UGCCAUCCAAUUUAAGUAUGUUUUAUUGCUUUCAAAACAUAUUCCAUAGACUGGUGCAAAAAUAAAUAAAUUCUCUUUCGCAACCCAGAACUCAGUGUCCCCUAUGAAUUUUCAUACAGGUCAAAAGAAAUAUG